GACGAACGCUGGCGGCGUGCUUAACACAUGCAAGUCGAACGGAGAUUAUUAAUGAAGCUUGCGAUUUAAUAAUCUUAGUGGCGGACGGGUGAGUAACGCGUGGGCAACCUACCCAUAAGCGGGGGAUAACAGUUGGAAACGACUGCUAAUACCGCAUAAGCUAUUAAGGUCACAUGACCUUAAUAGUAAAGGUGGCGAUUUUACAUUGCUAUCACUUAUGGAUGGGCCCGCGUCUGAUUAGCUAGUUGGUGGGAUAGCAGCCUACCAAGGCAACGAUCAGUAGCCGGCCUGAGAGGGUGGACGGCCACACUGGGACUGAGACACGGCCCAGACUCCUACGGGAGGCAGCAGUGGGGAAUAUUGCGCAAUGGGGGAAACCCUGACGCAGCGACGCCGCGUGAGCGAAGAAGGCCUUAGGGUCGUAAAGCUCUGUUGUAAGGGACGAAUGUUUAUCUGGCGAACAGUCAGAUAAAGUGACGGUACCUUACCAGCAAGCCCCGG
rnacentral:rRNA from 1 species